rnacentral:misc_RNA from 1 species
GACGUAGGGUGCAAGCGUUGUCCGGAAUUAUUGGGCGUAAAGAGCUCGUAGGCGGUUUGUCGCGUCUGCUGUGAAAACGCGGGGCUUAACCUCGCGCGUGCAGUAGGUACGGGCAGACUAGAGUGCGGUAGGGGAGACUGGAAUUCCUGGUGUAGCGGUGGAAUGCGCAGAUAUCAGGAGGAACACCGGUGGCGAAGGCGGGUAUCUGGGCCGUUACUGACGCUGAGGAGCGAAAGCAUGGGGAGUGAACAGG